UAUAAGCUUACAAGAUGUUAUUUCAAGUAGGAAUCUCAAGUGUUUGUU
rnacentral:sRNA from 1 species